AGAGACAGCAGUAGCCGCGGGAAUACGUAGGGUGCAAGCGUUAAUCGGAAUUACUGGGCGUAAAGCGUGCGCAGGCGGUUUGUUAAGACAGAUGUGAAAUCCCCGGGCUCAACCUGGGAACUGCAUUUGUGACUGGCAGGCUAGAGUAUGGCAGAGGGGGGUGGAAUUCCGCGUGUAGCAGUGAAAUGCGUAGAUAUGCGGAGGAACACCGAUGGCGAAGGCAGCCCCCUGGGAUAAUACUGACGCUCAUGCACGAAAGCGUGGGGAGCAAACAGGAUUAGAUACCCCUGUAGUCCCUGUCUCUUAUAC
rnacentral:rRNA from 1 species